rnacentral:rRNA from 1 species
AGAGCAGAAUCUGCUUGCAUUGGAUUGAGAACAACGCACAACACUUAUCGAUAAACAAUUGGAGGGCAAGUCUGGUGCCAGCAGCCGCGGUAAUUCCAGCUCCAAUAGCGUAUAUUAACGUUGUUGCAGUUAAAAAGCUCGUAGUUGAAGUGAAGUGUGAAUCUUCUGGAUUUUCGUUUGAAUUUCCAGCUGCUUCAUACUCUUUCCAAAUAGUUUGCAUGGGUAUUCACUUAUCUGUGUAUUGCAUUUGGUCAUUUACUGUGAGAAAAUUAGAGUGUUCAAAGCAUACGUUUGUUUGAAUACAUUAGCAUGGAAUAAUUCGAAAAGGCUUUCAUGUUCGAUUUGAUUGGUUUGUUCGUGAAGGCAAGAUUAAAAGGGACAGUUGGGGGUAUUCAUAUUCAAUAGUCAGAGGUGAAAUUCUCGGAUUUAUGGAAGAUGAACUAGUGCGAAAGCAUUUACCAAGGAUGUUUUCAUUAAUCAAGAACGAAAGUUAGGGGAUCGAAGAGGCUUAGAUACCCUCGUAGUCUUAACUAUAAACGAUACCGACUAGGGGUUAGUGGAGGUCAUUUGUCUCUACUAGUACCUUAUGAGAAAUCAAAGUCUUUGGGUUCCGGGGGGAGUAUGGUCGCAAGGCUGAAACUUAAAGGAAUUGACGGAAGGGCACCACCAGGAGUGGAGCCUGCGGCUUAAUUUGACUCAACACGGGGAAACUUACCAGGUCCAGACAUAGGAAGGAUAGACAGAACAAAGCUCUUUCUUGAUUCUAUGGGUGGUGGUGCAUGGCCGUUCUUAGUUGGUGGAUUGAUUUGUCAGGCUAAUUCCGAUAACGAACGAGACCUCCGCCUACUAAAUAGAAAGUUGUAAUUCGUUACAAGUUUCUUCUUAGAGGGACACUAUACAUGAAGUGUAGGGAAGCUGGAGGCAAUAACAGGUCUGUGAUGCCCUUAGAUGUCCUGGGCUGCACGCGCGCGACACUGAUUGAUUCAACAAGUGGCUGAUUUGAAAGAAUUGGCAACUCUUUUUGAAAGUCAAUCGUGAUGGGAUGAUGUUUGAUUAUCAUCAUGCGAAGAAAGGAAGAGAGGGGGGGGUAGGCAGCGGAGGCGCGUGAGGGCCUAAUAGCAUCGAGUGGAGACG